rnacentral:misc_RNA from 1 species
AAAGUCGUAACAAGGUUUCCGUAGGUGAACCUGCGGAAGGAUCAUUACUGAUUUGGCGGACCGAGCGUCAGCGAGGUUCCGCGAUCACUUGUAUUUAAAACCCACACUUUGAAUGUAUAUGUAUAUUUUUGUAUUUUUAAUAAUAAAAAAAGAUCACUUUCAACAACGGAUCUCUUGGCUCUC